GGAGCGGUAGUUCAGUUGGUUAGAAUACCGGCCUGUCACGCCGGGGGUCGCGGGAUCGAGUCCCGUACACUCCGCCA
rnacentral:tRNA from 1 species